UACGGGGGGAGCAAGCGUUGUUCGGAUUUACUGGGCGUAAAGGGCGCGUAGGCGGUCAGCACAAGUCAGUUGUGAAAUCUCCGGGCUUAACCCGGAAAGGUCAACUGAUACUGUGCGACUAGAGUGCGGAAGGGCAACUGGAAUUCUCGGUGUAGCGGUGAAAUGCGUAGAUAUCGAGAGGAACACCUGCGGCGAAGGCGGGUUGCUGGGCCGACACUGACGCUGAUGCGCGAAAGCCAGGGGAGCGAACGGG
rnacentral:rRNA from 1 species